UCAAAUCACAUGAGAGUUUUUGUAAUUAUCCCAAUUAAUAAUAAAAAGGUCUUCAACAUCAGUUGUUUAUGUUCUAAGAUUGGGUUACCUAACGUACCUUUUUAAUGGGAGUUUAGCUAUCAACAAUCCAAGUUAUGGUAGUUAAGAAACACCAUCAGUGAUUUAACUGCAAUAGGAAAAAAAAUGCAUGAAUAUAUUAAGCAAUAUAAUACACAAAUUAAAUUGAAAAGGAAUAGGACCAUCUAUUGUAUAAUGCUCUAGUUUCAGAGAACAAAACCUGGUCAGCCCAUUUUGACGAUAUAUACAAUGAAAAUGCCAGCACGAGAACGCCUUUGGAUGGAAGGGACACAUCAAAUGAUUGUCACCAAGGCUCCCUCCAAUAACUUGAACUUUCCUUUUGAUUAUACUUGACCAUUGCUUUAAGUACAAUUUGCUCUAUAAAAAAACAAUUAUUCUUGUUCCGCAAGCUUAAAUAUAUCAUAGGAGGAUUACACUAAAUCUUUGGCUUCGAGUACAGCUGGCUAAAAAGGCAUCACUGUCAUUUAUAAACUAAUAAAACCUUGACUGACGACACCAAAUGACCCCCACUUCCCAGCCCUCGAAAGGGGCACUUCCCUCCAUGAUCUUGGAUCGAGGAACAACAGGAUGCACAGAAUGAAAUUGCCGUCGAGGUUAAAAAAAGGAGAAGAAUUUAAGAUCGCCACUCAAGGCAAAAGCCGCAGAAUCUGUGCAAAUCCACUUGCAACUGGCGAGCUUCAGACCCCUCCAUUUAACUUAUGAUCUAACUGUCAAAUUGGAUGCUUUAUUGUCUCCUCGUGAAGACUUCAAGAGAAAAGGGCCUCGAGAAUUAUAAGAGGUGUCUAUGUCUGAGAUUCUUUCUAAUCCAGCUCUCGAUAAGUUUCAACUACUUCUGUUAAAAGAGUCUACGGGCCGGGUCUUGUUAUGCUGUCCUUUUAACGUAAGAAAGAAGUAUCUUGGGUGGAUAGAGAAAUAUCUUGUUAACAAGAAGGAUACAAUUAGCUGAUAAUGCAGCAAUUAAGCUCUCAAGACUUGUGAUUGUGCCUUUGACAGCCUCCCUUGAUGUUGUCUUAUAAGCUCAAUGCUGCCCACAAUAAAUCACAAUAAUUACUUCUAUAUGAUAUCCUCACCUUCCAAUUUGUAAUAACAUAUCAUUUUCGGACUUGACAAGUUUGACUGACUUUACUUCUAUUUUGUUCUCUUCGUCAGGAGUUAUUCAACUACCAGUAAGAUUUCUUCGCAACAAAUUAUAUCCCAAGGCUUUCUGAUCCUCUGGCCAUUCAUUGGCUCCUAGUAUUGCAGAUAUAUGGCAUUAGUGGUUAGUUGCUUGAACAUGCUAUCUUAUUUGUCUUAUCUGAACUCACAAAGGCCCCUCCAUUUCCCCCACAUUCUCUAUAUGUGAGAAAACUUCACUUGUAGCCAGAAGAUUAUUUAUAUAUAUGAUAGUCACCGGUGACACAUCUAAUGGUUGCUAUCAUCCUUUGUACUGUCCAUAUGCCAGUCAACCUCACAAGUAAAUACCAAGUCACCAGUCAAUUUAAUUUUUAACAUAAAAAAAAAAUGAUUAUCUACUAAUUUUCUCUCCCAUCAAUAUUUUUAGACGACUCUCUCUCCUCUCAUGUGAAAAAAUAAAGUUCGAGAGUGGAUUGUAAAUUGCUAAAAUAACAUGGACUAAAUAAUAUAUAAAUCAAGACUUCAAACACUAAAUGAAAGUUUUCCAAGCCAAAAUGAAAAUAGGAUCUUUUUUUUUAAAAAAAAAAAUGAUUCUAAUUCUGUGAAAUUUUAUUUUGUGAAAUCAAUUUUUAAUUUAUUGUCAAAAUACUCCUGGUGUAUGGGAGAGCCUGCAAAACAAAAGAAAUCUUAAAAUAUAAAACCGUUGUAAAAUAAAAUAUAUAAUCACAAAGAAAAAAAAUGCAUGACCAAAAUGUAUCCAGGUGGACACGACAUCACUCUACUUUUGUCCAAAUCUCUUAGUUUUUCUACGACAUCACUGUACUUUUGUCCAAGUCUUUUAGUUUUUCUUACAGUAUAAUUAUGAUUAUAAUACUUGAUUGGAUUUAUUGUACUCUCAUAUUAACCCGACAUAAAUUGGUUAGGCUAUUCAGAUCUGGUGAAGUCUAAAAUAACAGCAACGGCAAAAUGCAUUCCACUAGAUUAAAAUUUAAUGAUAGAAUGCUUGUAGACAAUUUCCGAUAUUAGGAUUGUGGUAACCUCCGACCAAUAGAAAUCUACGAGUCAUUAAAGAUGAAUCCUUCCUUCCCCCGAGUAAUUUCACCAUCAACCCUUGAUUGAAAAUCACACACUACCAAAUCGGAUUGUAUGAUGGAUGAUGACUAGAUGAUAAAAGGAUAUUCACUCAACACAAAUCAGGUGGUAGAUAUUAGAGAGUCUAGCUGGAAACUGUUCUAGAGGAUAGAAUAUGAUCAUGGAUUUGGCAAAAAUUUGCACCAAGAGUACUAAAAAUUAUAGAAGGAUCACAGAAUCUGUAAUUAUAUGAUUUCUAUGCAUUUAAAUGCUUCCAUCCAGUGAUGCACUUAAUAUAGAAGUUAAUUGUAAUAAUUUUUUUAGGGUGGAUACAACAUAAGAAAUGCAUUAUCCUUUGCCAUCCUAAAUGAAAUCAUUCAUGGAAAAUACCCAACAUAAGCCGUGCCAAUUGAUGGCUAGGUGGGGAAAACGUGUCUUUGAAAGCAGGCUUCCCCAAAUUAUCACCAGACGGAAAGCAUCAAGUGGCUGUCAAGCUCAGGGCGGUGAGAUGGGUUGUCAAGCCAUGUCAAAGGGGAACCAGAAAUCUCACUUUUGAUUUGUGUUUCUCUAAUUAAGUGAUAAAUGAGCAGCAGCGCUCUAUUUUAUUGUGGACUCGCUACCUAAUGACUUUGAUUUUCAACAUUAUCGAACUAUGGACUAUCAACUAGGCCCGAGCAAGUCAAAAUAACAUUGCCAUUGGCUUGCUAUUUAUCAAACUAGAUCACGGGGAAAAAAAAUCCAUGCAUCUCCAUUGAUGUGGUAGAAGUAAAACGAGAGAGCAAGCCAUUGCCAGUAGACUAUCUAGAAAAAACUGAUAUAAUGAAUUUUCAAAUCCAGUUUGAGGGGGGUUGCUCAAAAUACUAGACCGAAAUGAACUAUUUCUCGGAAGUGAAGUGAUCAAUCGAAGGGCUAGGAUUACCCGCUGGGGCAACUACAGAGGAUGAUCUGUAGCAAGAUCCCAAGAAAAUGAAAGACACGGGGCUCGACAUCAGUAGCCCACUUAUACUGACUACAUCUCGGCGAACGGAGUUCUAACAGCAGUAUUAAGCAAGUUUUGUAUUUACAGAAACACUCUCCCUGGCAUAAAAGAAUGCAGUGGAUGCUCCAGAAUUGUACAAGCGAUAAGUUUUUAAGAGAAAGAAGAAAGAGGCAGCUCUUCCAGUAGUUGUGAGCAGGUUUUUCUCAAAGUCUAAAUGCUUUUUUGUCAUGUCAAGAAAUUGGUAGAGAUGUUACUCGGGACUAUAAACACUAUCAUUUUAAGAAAAUAGCCAUUCAUUGACCAAAAAAGUAUGGAGAGGAAUUUAUACUUGCAAAGAAAAGAAAAAAACAUCUUAUCACCAAUUUGAAACCUAAUUUAUAUCAUAGUUAAAGCCUUGAGAGGAUGAAUCAACAGGCCAAAGUUUUGAAAAAAACAGAUAGAGCAACCAUAUUACCUGGACAAGAGCAUUUAUAAUGACAAGGGGGUCAAAUUUUGAGCAGUAGCUCGCCUCAAUUUACCAUAUACAGCGGUUGAGAACUGCACAGCAAUGAGAUUUACUUAUCAUUUCACAUAUUGCUUCCCUAUAUAAGAUAUAAGUGCAUGAUCUGAAACUCAAAGUGAUAUGAGCACAACCCACACACAUACAAACUCUCAAGAAAUGCAUGAAUGAUGCAGAGUAAGCAUUAUAUGGAAUACAACAGGAAAAAUGGGCAUGGAAAUUACUAGUUCAGGUAGCCAUUAGAUGUGGAGUGUGUUCAACUAGCUUGAUCCUGCUCUAUAACUACUACGAGGUCAAUCAAAAAAUCGCAAUGGCAUAUCAUAAAUGAAAACCUGUGAAACAUAAAAAACACAACACACCAUUUCAUAGAAACAAGGCCAAUCGCCAAGUCUUUAUCUUCAGUUAAAGUGUAAUAUUCAUCUGUGACAACCUUAAUUAAUGCACCCAUAAGCUUCUUUGAUUGAACAUCUGCUUUCAAACUACAA
rnacentral:lncRNA from 1 species